GUUAAAACUUGGGUUGACAUAGCAUUUCAUCUCAUGAAAUAGGUUCAAGUUGUCCACGAGCUUGUGGUAGGCGUUGCAUCCACAACACUGCACAAACACAGUGCCAUCGGUAUAAGCAUGGGGGUUGAUUGCCCGUGUUGUCCGUUGCCCACAAAUGUUACAAGUAAAAGCCACGAGCAUUCUUCGGCGAGGAGAUUUUGUGAAAAGUGACCAUGGGAAAGUGGAUACAUUCUCCGGCUGGUCUGGAGGCCAAAUCAGGCA
rnacentral:misc_RNA from 1 species